UACGGGGGGGGCAAGCGUUGUUCGGAAUUACUGGGCGUAAAGGGUUCGUAGGUGGCUUGCUAAGUCAGACGUGAAAUCCCUCGGCUUAACCGGGGAACUGCGUCUGAUACUGGAUGGCUAGAGUUUGGGGGAGGGAUGCGGAAUUCCUGGUGUAGCGGUGGAAUGCGCAGAUAUCAGGAGGAACACCGAUGGCGAAGGCAGUUCUCUGGGCCGUAACUGACGCUGAGGAGCGAAAGCGUGGGGAGCGAACAGG
rnacentral:rRNA from 1 species